rnacentral:rRNA from 1 species
GACCCCUUGGGGUUAUAUGGUCAAGCGAUGAAGCGCAUACGGUGGAUGCCUAGGCAGCCAGAGGCGAUGAAGGACGUGGAAGCCUGCGAUAAGGUUCGGCGAGGUGGCAAACAACCUGUGACCCGGACAUUUCCGAAUGGGGAAACCCACCCAGGGUAACCUGGGUAUCUCACACUGAAUCCAUAGGUGUGGGAGGCGAACCGGGGGAACUGAAACAUCUAAGUACCCCGAGGAAAAGAAAUCAACCGAGAUUCCCCCAGUAGCGGCGAGCGAACGGGGACUAGCCCUUAAGCGGGUGACUGAUUAGGCGAAUGAGCUGGGAAGCUCAACGAUACAGGGUGAUAGUCCCGUAGCCGAAAAUCUGAUCCCGUGAAAUCGAGUAGGUCGGGGCACGUGAAACCUUGACUGAAGACGGGGGGACCAUCCUCCAAGGCUAAAUACUCCUGGCUGACCGAUAGUGAACCAGUACCGUGAGGGAAAGGCGAAAAGAACCCCGGAGAGGGGAGUGAAAUAGAUCCUGAAACCGUGUGCGUACAAGCAGUGGGAGCCGACUCGUUCGGUGACCGCGUACCUUUUGUAUAAUGGGUCAGCGACUUAUUUUCAGUGGCGAGCUUAACCGUAUAGGGGAGGCGUAGGGAAACCGAGUCUUAACUGGGCGACCAGUCGCUGGAAAUAGACCCGAAACCGGGCGAUCUAUCCAUGAGCAGGUUGAAGGUUGAGUAACAUCAACUGGAGGACCGAACCAGGAUCUGUUGAAAAAGAUUUGGAUGACUUGUGGAUCGGAGUGAAAGGCUAAUCAAGCCCGGAGAUAGCUGGUUCUCCUCGAAAGCUAUUUAGGUAGCGCCUCACGUAUCACCGCCGGGGGUAGAGCACUGUUUCGGCUAGGGGGUCAUCCCGACUUACCAACCCGAGGCAAACUCCGAAUACCGGUGAGUGCAGCGUGGGAGACACACAGCGGGUGCUAACGUCCGUUGUGAAAAGGGAAACAACCCAGACCGUCAGCUAAGGUCCCGAAAUCCUGGUUAAGUGGGAAACGAUGUGGGAAGGCU